AAAAAUGAUUUGAAAUAAAAAAAAUCUGGAUUUUAUGUGUAGCCAGACAUAAUAUUAGCCAGUUGAUGAAGUAAAUAAGUUACAAGGUUUGUUUAAAUUAUA